GAUGAACGCUGGCGGCGUGCCUAAUACAUGCAAGUCGAGCGAACAGACGAGGAGCUUGCUCCUUUGACGUUAGCGGCGGACGGGUGAGUAACACGUAGGUAACCUACCUAUAAGACUGGGAUAACUUCGGGAAACCGGAGCUAAUACCGGAUAAUAUUUCGAACCGCAUGGUUCGAUAGUGAAAGAUGGCUUUGCUAUCACUUAUAGAUGGACCUGCGCCGUAUUAGCUAGUUGGUAAGGUAACGGCUUACCAAGGCAACGAUACGUAGCCGACCUGAGAGGGUGAUCGGCCACACUGGAACUGAGACACGGUCCAGACUCCUACGGGAGGCAGCAGUAGGGAAUCUUCCGCAAUGGGCGAAAGCCUGACGGAGCAACGCCGCGUGAGUGAUGAAGAUCUUCGGAUCGUAAAACUCUGUUAUUAGGGAAGAACAAACGUGUAAGUAACUGUGCACGUCCUGACGGUACCUAAUCAGAAAGCCACGGCUAACUACGUG
rnacentral:rRNA from 1 species